CCAGGUCCUUAUGGAAUCAAGGGCAAAAAGGAAGAAACAUGUACUUUUAAAAAAGGUAUUACGGUUAAAGAAUUCUUCAAGAAUCUAGGGUGAAAGACCCGAAGUGAAGAAAAUCAGCAAGGCCAAAAAUAGCAAAAAAUCAAGCGAGCAACAAUAAAAUGAUGUCAAAUUUGAGACCGUAAAAGCCUGUAAAUAUUGGUGAAGAAUUAAAUAGAAGGAAUAGUU